rnacentral:rRNA from 1 species
UACGUAGGGUGCAAGCGUUGUCCGGAAUUAUUGGGCGUAAAGAGCUCGUAGGCGGUUUGUCGCGUCUGCUGUGAAAACCUAAGGCUCAACCUUGGGCUUGCAGUGGGUACGGGCAGACUAGAGUGCGGUAGGGGGUGACUGGAAUUCCUGGUGUAGCGGUGGAAUGCGCAGAUAUCAGGAGGAACACCAGUGGCGAAGGCGAU